rnacentral:rRNA from 1 species
CAGCAGCCGCGGGAACACGUAGGGUGCGAGCGUUGUCCGGAAUUAUUGGGCGUAAAGAGCUUGUAGGUGGUUUGUCGCGUCUGCUGUGAAAAUCCGAGGCUCAACCUCGGACUUGCAGUGGGUACGGGCAGACUAGAGUGUGGUAGGGGAGACUGGAAUUCCUGGUGUAGCGGUGGAAUGCGCAGAUAUCAGGAGGAACACCGAUGGCGAAGGCAGGUCUCUGGGCCAUUACUGACACUGAGAAGCGAAAGCAUGGGGAGCGAACAGGAUUAGAUACCCCCGUAGUCCCUGUCUCUUAUAC